CCCUUAGAUGUCCUGGGCCGCACGCGCGCUACACUGACAUGUUCAACAAGCCUCCUAGUUCGACAGGAUUUGGGAAAUCUUUGAACGCAUGUCGUGAUAGGGAUAGAUCAUUGCAAUUAUUGAUCUUGAACGAGGAAUUCCUAGUAAACGCGAGUCAUCAGCUCGCAUUGAUUACGUCCCUGCCCUUUGUACACACCGCCCGUCGCACCUACCGAUUGAAUGUUUCGGUGAAGAUUCCGUAUAGGACUUUUUUGAUUUAUUUCAAUUUUGUCUUAAAAGCUAUCUAAACCUCAACAUUUAGAGGAAGGUGAAGUCGUAACA
rnacentral:rRNA from 1 species